rnacentral:rRNA from 1 species
UACAGAGGGUGCGAGCGUUGUCCGGAAUCACUGGGCUUAAAGGGCGCGUAGGCGGGCAGGCAAGUCAGGGGUGAAAGCCCACGGCUCAACCGUGGAAGUGCCUUUGAUACUGCUUGUCUUGAGGGAGGUAGGGGCGUGCGGAACUUCUGGUGGAGCGGUGAAAUGCGUAGAUAUCGGAAGGAACACCGGUGGCGAAAGCGGCGCGCUGGACCUCUACUGACGCUGAGGCGCGAAAGCCAGGGGAGCAAACGGG